UACGUAGGGUGCAAGCGUUAAUCGGAAUUACUGGGCGUAAAGCGUGCGCAGGCGGUUGUGCAAGACAGAUGUGAAAUCCCCGGGCUCAACCUGGGAAUUGCAUUUGUGACUGCACGGCUAGAGUGUGUCAGAGGGGGGUAGAAUUCCACGUGUAGCAGUGAAAUGCGUAGAGAUGUGGAGGAAUACCGAUGGCGAAGGCAGCCCCCUGGGAUAACACUGACGCUCAGGCACGAAAGCGUGGGGAGCAAACAGG
rnacentral:rRNA from 1 species